AGUGAACGCUGGCGGUAGGCCUAACACAUGCAAGUCGAACGGCAGCACAGGAGAGCUUGCUCUCUGGGUGGCGAGUGGCGGACGGGUGAGGAAUACAUCGGAAUCUACUCUGUCGUGGGGGAUAACGUAGGGAAACUUACGCUAAUACCGCAUACGACCUACGGGUGAAAGCAGGGGAUCUUCGGACCUUGCGCGAUUGAAUGAGCCGAUGUCGGAUUAGCUAGUUGGCGGGGUAAAGGCCCACCAAGGCGACGAUCCGUAGCUGGUCUGAGAGGAGGAUCAGCCAAACGGGAACUGGGAGACGGUCCAGACCCCUACGGGAGGCAGCAGUGGGGAAUAUUGGACAAUGGGAGCAAGCCUGAUCCAGCCAUACCGCGUGGGUGAAGAAGGCCUUCGGGUUGUAAAGCCCUUUUGUUGGGAAAGAAAUCCAGCUGGCUAAUACCCGGUUGGGAUGACGGUACCCAAAGAAUAAGCACCGGCUAACUUCGUGCCAGCCGCCGCCGUAA
rnacentral:rRNA from 1 species